CGCGUAGGCGGUAUGGCAAGUCAGAUGUGAAAGCCCCGGGCUUAACCCGGGAAUUGCAUCUGAAACUGCUUUACUUGAGUCCUGGAUGGGGUAGUGGAAUUCCCAGUGUAGCGGUGAAAUGCGUAGAUAUUGGGAGGAACACCUGCGGCGAAGGCGGCUACCUGGACAGUGACUGACGCUGAGGCGCGAAAGCUAGGGGAGCGAACG
rnacentral:rRNA from 1 species